rnacentral:rRNA from 1 species
GGGGAAUAUUGGACAAUGGGCGAAAGCCUGAUCCAGCAAUGCCGCGUGAACGAUGAAGGCCUUAGGGUUGUAAAGUUCUUUCACCGGGGAAGAUAAUGACGGUACCCGGAGAAGAAGCCCCGGCUAACUCCGUGCCAGCAGCCGCGGUAAUACGGAGGGGGCUAGCGUUGUUCGGGAUUACUGGGCGUAAAGCGCGCGUAGGCGGGCUGUUAAGUCGGGGGUGAAAUCCCGGGGCUCAACCCCGGAACUGCCUCCGAUACUGGCAGCCUAGAGGUCGAGAGAGGUGAGUGGAAUUCCGAGUGUAGAGGUGAAAUUCGUAGAUAUUCGGAGGAACACCAGUGGCGAGGGCGGCUCACUGGCUCGAUACUGACGCUGAGGUGCGAAAGCGUGGGGAGCAA